rnacentral:piRNA from 1 species
UAGCAACACGGCAGAUGAAUGAUUUG